AUUGAACGCUGGCGGCAUGCCUUACACAUGCAAGUCGAACGGCAGCACGGGUGCUUGCACCUGGUGGCGAGUGGCGAACGGGUGAGUAAUACAUCGGAACAUGUCCUGUAGUGGGGGAUAGCCCGUCGAAAGCCGGAUUAAUACCGCAUACGAUCUACGGAUGAAAGCGGGGGACCUUCGGGCCUCGCGCUAUAGGGCUGGCCGAUGGCUGAUUAGCUAGUUGGUGGGGUAAAGGCCUACCAAGGCGACGAUCAGUAGCUGGUCUGAGAGGACGACCAGCCACACUGGGACUGAGACACGGCCCAGACUCCUACGGGAGGCAGCAGUGGGGAAUUUUGGACAAUGGGCGAAAGCCUGAUCCAGCAAUGCCGCGUGUGUGAAGAAGGCCUUCGGGUUGUAAAGCACUUUUGUCCGGAAAGAAAUCCUUGGCCAUAAUACGGUCGGGGGAUGACGGUACCGGAAGAAUAAGCACCGGCUAACUACGUG
rnacentral:rRNA from 1 species